rnacentral:snoRNA from 1 species
UUGCUGUGAUGACUAUCUUAGGACACCUUUGGAAUACCCAUGAAAAAAAAAAAAUUCUUUCUGAGCAAC